rnacentral:pre_miRNA from 9 species
UCUCGAUAACGUAAAAGUUAACUCAAUUUUGUAUGCAGAUGGAACGUUUGCCCACGUUUCCCGCUGGGGGUGCUAUUCCAACUGCAUACAAAUUUGAGUUAACUUUUACGCUAACGA